rnacentral:ncRNA from 1 species
UAUCCAUGGAGGGGCAAGUCUGGUGCCAGCAGCCGCGGUAAUUCCAGCUCCAAAAGUGAUAUAUUUAAGUUGUUGCGGUUAAAAAGCUCGUAGUUGGAUUUUGGGCGCAGGCGGCCGGUCCGUCGCAAGGCGUGUACUGGACGUCCUGGCCUUCCCUCCGGUUCUCCGCCGGUGCUCUUGACUGAGUGUCGGCGGCGGCCGGAACGUUUACUUUGAAAAAAUUAGAGUGUUCAAAGCAGGCUCUCGAGCCUGGAUAAUGGUGCAUGGAAUAAUGGAAUAGGACCUCGGUUCUAUUUUGUUGGUUUUCGGAGCGCGAGGUAAUGAUUAAGAGGGACAGACGGGGGCAUUCGUACUGUGCCGUUAGAGGUGAAAUUCUUGGAUCGGCGCAAGACGAACGACUGCGAAAGCAUUUGCCAAGAAUGUUUUCUUUAAUCAAGAGCGAAAGUCAGAGGUUCGAAGACGAUCAGAUACCGUCCUAGUUCUGACUAUAAACGAUGCCAACUAGCGAUCGGGGGGCGUUACAUUGACGACCCCUCCGGCAGCUUACGGGAAACCAAAGUCUUUGGGUUCCGGGGGAAGUAUGGUUGCAAAGCUGAAACUUAAAGGAAUUGACGGAAGGGCACCACCAGGAGUGGAGCCUGCGGCUUAAUUUGACUCAACACGGGAAAUCUCACCCGGCCCGGACA